GGCUAGGUAGCUCAGUGGUUAGAGCACCUGGUAUAUAUCCAGGAGGUCCUGGGUUCAAUCCCCAGUCUGGCCA